UGUUGAGAAGAAGGCAUUAGAUGAUGAGAUGGAUUGGUAAUAAGAGAGUGAGGCUUAGGAGAGUAAUGGGUUGGAGGAAUGAGUUUGGGAGAGGCUAGGCCGUACAGGCCGUACCAUGGCCGUACAGGCCGUACAAGAGUAGCUCGACCAAGAUCACUACCUAAGGGAAGUUACUACACUCGGUUAACUUAAGAGGUAAAGGAGAAGUCUUACUGAGGCUUUACUGAUGUUACCGCGUGGAG
rnacentral:lncRNA from 1 species